UCAAUCUCGUGCGGCUAGAAGCCGCCUGUCCCUCUAAGAAGAAUUGUUUGUACGCCGACAGUAAAAACCGCGCGCGACAAGGAGCGAACCCCAAGUCGGCGGGCCUUUAGGAUGUCAAAAUACGCCUAGUUAGCAGGCUAGAGUCUCGUUCGUUAU
rnacentral:rRNA from 1 species